AGUGAACGCUGGCGGUAGGCCUAACACAUGCAAGUCGAACGGCAGCACAGUAAGAGCUUGCUCUUACGGGUGGCGAGUGGCGGACGGGUGAGGAAUACAUCGGAAUCUACUUUUUCGUGGGGGAUAACGUAGGGAAACUUACGCUAAUACCGCAUACGACCUACGGGUGAAAGCAGGGGAUCUUCGGACCUUGCGCGAUUGAAUGAGCCGAUGUCGGAUUAGCUAGUUGGCGGGGUAAAGGCCCACCAAGGCGACGAUCCGUAGCUGGUCUGAGAGGAUGAUCAGCCACACUGGAACUGAGACACGGUCAAGACUCCUACGGGAGGCCGCAGUGGGGAAUAUUGGACAAUGGGCGAAAGCCUGAUCCAGCCAUACCGCGUGGGUGAAGAAGGCCUUCGGGUUGUAAAGCCCCUUUGUUGGGAAAGAAAAGCAGCAGGUUAAUACCCCGCUGUUCUGACGGUACCCAACGAAUAAGCACCGGCUAACUUCGUG
rnacentral:rRNA from 1 species